rnacentral:rRNA from 1 species
UACAGAGGGUGCAAGCGUUAAUCGGAUUACUGGGCGUAAAGCGUGCGUAGACGGUUACAUAAGUCGGGUGUGAAAGCCCCGGGCUCAACCUGGGAAUGGCAUUGGAAACUGGCGAGCUUGAGUGUGGCAGAGGGGGGUGGAAUUCCGCGGUGUAGCAGUGAAAUGCGUAGAGAUGCGGAGGAACACCGAUGGCCGAAGGCAGCCCCCCUGGGCUAACACUGACGCUCAGGCACGAAAGCGUGGGGAGCAAACAGG